GUACUGACCUGACAGGGGAGACACCAUGAUCAAGCAGGUGGUUUUCCCAGGGCAAGGCUCAUCCCUUGCACUCCGGGUGUGCUGACCCCUGUGAUUUCCCCAAAUGCAGAAAACUCUACUGUUUGUUUGUUUUGU
rnacentral:snRNA from 1 species